UACAGAGGGCUCAAGCGUUGUUCGGAUUCAUUGGGCGUAAAGGGCGCGUAGGCGGGCUGUCCAGUCUGGGGUGAAAUCCCGCGGCUCAACCGUGGAACUGCCUCAGAUACUGACGGGCUCGAGGGAGAUAGGGGCAUGCGGAACUGUAGGUGGAGCGGUGAAAUGCGUUGAUAUCUGGAGGAACACCGGUGGCGAAGGCGGCGUUCUGGACUGCUACUGACACUGAGGAACGAAAGCCAGGGGAGCAAACGGG
rnacentral:rRNA from 1 species